UACGUAGGGGGCUAGCGUUAAUCGGAAUUACUGGGCGUAAAGUGUGCGCAGGCGGCAGAGCAAAUCGAGUGUGAAAGCCCCGGGCUUAACUUGGGAAUUGCGCUCGAAACUACUUGCUGGAGUGUGGCAGAGGAAGGUGGAAUUCCACGUGUAGCGGUGAAAUGCGUAGAGAAUGUGGAGGAACACCAAUGGCGAAGGCAGC
rnacentral:rRNA from 1 species